rnacentral:rRNA from 1 species
ACGGAAGGCAGCAGUGGGGGAUAUUGCACAAUGGAGGAAACUCUGAUGCAGCAACGCCGCGUGAGGGAAGAAGGUCUUCGGAUUGUAAACCUCUGUUUUUGGUGAAGAAUAACUGACGGUAGCCAAAGAGGAAGCCACGGCUAACUACGUUCCAGCAGCCGCGGUAAUACGUAGGUGGCAAGCGUUGUCCGGAUUUACUGGGUGUAAAGGGUGCGCAGGCGGGACUGCAAGUUGGAUGUGAAAUACCGAGGCUCAACCUCGGAGCUGCAUCCAAAACUGUAGUUGUUGAGUGGAGUAGAGGCAAGCGGAAUUCCGAGUGUAGCGGUGAAAUGCGUAGAUAUUCGGAGGAACGCCAGUGGAGAAGGCGGCUUGCUGGGCUCUAACUGACGCUGAGGCUCGAAAGCGUGGGGAGCAAACAGGAUUAGAUA